rnacentral:tRNA from 1 species
GGAAGGGUUGCGAAGAGGCUAAACGCGGCGGACUGUAAAUCCGCUCCUUCGGGUUCGGGGGUUCGAAUCCCUCUCUCUCCA